rnacentral:rRNA from 1 species
UAGAGUAAUGCGUGACCAACCUGCCCCAUGCUCCAGAAUAGCUCUUGGAAACGGGUGGUAAUGCUGGAUGCUCCAACUUGACGCAUGUCUUGUUGGGAAAGUGUUUAGUGGCAUGGGAUGGGGUCGCGUCCUAUCAGCUUGUAGGCGGGGUAAUGGCCCACCUAGGCUUCGACGGGUAGCCGGCCUGAGAGGGCGGACGGCCACAUUGGGACUGAGAUACGGCCCAGACUCCUACGGGAGGCAGCAGNG